rnacentral:rRNA from 1 species
UACGUAGGUGGCAAGCGUUGUUCGGAAUUACUGGGCGUAAAGCGCGCGUAGGCGGCUCUUCAAGUCAGGCGUGAAAGCCCCGGGCUUAACUCGGGAACUGCGCUUGAUACUGUCGAGCUAGAGUGUGGAAGGGGCGAUUGGAAUUCCGUGUGUAGCGGUGAAAUGCGUAGAUAUACGGAGGAACACCAGAGGCGAAGGCGGAUCGCUGGGCCAACACUGACGCUGAGGAGCGAAAGCGUGGGGAGCGAACAGG